rnacentral:lncRNA from 1 species
AUGCUGCACCUCACACCCUGUGACCCAUUGGAGAACACAAGCAGCCGUGAGGAGGUGAGGACCACACGGGGAAGAGACAAGGAACAUGCUGGUCGAGCAGAUGAGCAUCACGGAGGGACAGGUGGAGCAGACGAGCACUACAGUGGAGCAGAUGAGCACUACAGUAGAGCAGAUGAGCACUGCACUACAGUGGAGAAGGUGGAGCAGAUGAGCACUACAGUGGAGAAGGUGGAGCAGAUGAGCACUACAGUGGAGCAGGUGGAGCAGAUGAGCACUAGAGUGGAGCAGGUGGAGCAGAUGAGCACUACAGUGGGGCAGGUGGAGCAGAUGAGUACUACAGUGGAGCAGAUGAGCACUACAGUAGAGCAAGUGGAGCAGAUGAGCACUACAGUAGAGCAAGCGACCAUUAUGUAGGGGCAGGUGGAGCAGAUGAACACUAUGGAGGGACAAAGUAAUAAGGAGAGAUUUAAAGAGUUUCAGUUUAGAUUUGUAAAGGCUUGAAGUAUUUGAACCAUGGGUUACCGUAACAUUACUCAACUUCUAGUGUUUUUUUCCCCAUAGAGCUUUAUGCAGGUAAGGGCUGAAUGAUUUAUUUUUCAGCAUCGACAUUACAAUGUGUGCAUGUGAAAUAGUCACAUUGCAGGAUGCAUAAUGCCAAGUAGGGGAAAAUAACUCAAACACGUCAUGCUUUCUUUUUUGCUGCAUGAUACUAAAGUAAAACUUACAAGGUUCUCAAUUUCUAUGGAUAAUCUGCAAGAAAAGUCCAUCUGAAAUUAUAUAAUUAGAUGAUAUCUAUCUGCACUUAGGGAUGUUGGAAUGAAUUUUGUGAGUCUAUCAUAAAUCUAAAAAAAAUACUAAUCGAAGGCUGAAAGUACUAUUCCUAUGUUUUUGUUUUGUUUUUUCGUACACUUAUAUGUCAGGGGCAUUGUUGUUGCGCUGUUAAAGCUUGGAUAAGCAAUGUUAGAGUAACCAGCCAGAGCACCUAGAUUUUGAAAGUAUCCAACUGAAAAAAAUCCUAUCAGGGCUUGCACCAAAGUAACUCCCCCAAAACACAUUUGUUAAUAAUGUCUGUUUUAAUAGUGGUGAAUGAGACAUGAGGUAGGAUAGUAUAUGGUUAGUGCACCAGCAGCAGUCAGACAGAGCUGACUACUGUCUGUCUGACUACUGCUGGUGUUUCUGUCUGACUACUGCUGGUGUUUCUGUCUGACUACUGCUGGUGCACUUACCAUAUCAAACUCCUACCUCAUGUUUCAUUCACAUCUAUGAAAACAACACACAUUAUUAACAAAUUCCCUCUGAAACAAAAUAAAUAAAUACAGCAACCAUGGUGUAACUUCAGGCUCUUCAGCUUCCUAACGUUAGUUCACUGCUGGUUCAGCAGCAUAAGUUGGUCCCUCGGUGAUGUGUCAAACUUGUAUGGACUCUAUUGCAGGCACACACUCCCGAUGGUAGCUGCCAAUGUUAAUAUGGUGGAAAAGGCCCACUGCAUAUUACAGAUCUUCGACAAGGCUACAUUUCAGAAUUUACGAUAUUAGGAUCAUUUUAAUAUUUAUAUCUGGCUAUGCCACACUACCAUUUACCCACCCAUGCGUUCCCUGAACAAGUCAGCAAAGGAUCAGCACUUGUUAAAACAAAUUGUGAUUAUCACAAACAGUAUGGGCAUAAGCAAGAAAACAAAACGCGUGGGGUUAAUGAAUCAACCCUAAUUCAGUCGACAAAAAAAAAAAAAAUGCAUGUACUUUACACGUAUUAGUACAUGUACUGCUGCACUUGUGUGAUGUUGUGAUCUUGAUGUAUUUGAAAUAAUAUGUUUAAGCUUUAUUUGGUAUAUGAGUAAUUUUCUUUCUCAAAACCCACUGCUGUCUUCACAGGAUCAGCCAUGGGCACAGUUGAUCUCAGUUACAAAAAGAAAAAGUCAGGUAUGUGAAUAAUGUUUGUAGAGUAAUUAUUAGUGUUUCUGGCAAUUAUGGAUUACCAUAGCUCAUUAGUCAGGCAGAUUUUCUUAGGAAAUUUAAUUAAUUAAAUUGAAUUUAAAGGAGACCUAUUAUGCUCAUUUCAAGUUCUAUAUUUUAAUUCUGAUACUCCACUAGAGUAAUUUUGCAUGAUCCUCAGUUACAAAAAAUCCUUGUUUAUCUUAUACUGGGCCUUUAUGUAGGCACUAAUUGUUUGUCAGAAACAAGCCAUUUUAGAUGGAGCCUUCUAGAAGCCUAUAUGGUUACUAUUCUAAUGAGCCUGCAUGUUAUGUAAAUUAUGGAGCCAAAUAUAAACAGCUUGUUUGCACACAUAUUUACUAUAAGAGAGAGGAUGGCCUUUUCUCAUAUUUGGGGGGUCUCUAGCUGCACCUGGGACACAUACACUCAUGGACAAAAAUAUUGGCACCCCUGCAUUUCUGUCAGAUAAUAAAUUCACUACUUCUCCCAGAAACUUGCUGCAAUCACAAAUUGUUUGUAUUGGAACAACACAAAAAAGCAGAAGAAAAAAAAGCCAAAUCUGAGACAUUCUACACAAAUCUCCAAAACUGUACUGGACAAAAUUGACGCCCACAUCUUAAUAUUUGGUUGCACAUCCUUUGGAAACAGUAACUUAAAUCAAUCGCUUCCUGUAACCAUCAGUGGGUUUCUUACAACUCUCUCCUGGAAUUUUGGACCAAUCUUCUUUCGCAAACUGCUCCAGGUCUUUCAGAUUUUAAGGGUUUCUUCUCGAGAUCUAUAGACAGGUGCUCUAUGGGAUUUUGAUCUGGACUCAUUUCUGGCCACUUAAACCUUCCAGUGCUUUGUCUUAAACCAUAUUUUGGUGUUUUUUGAAACAUGCUUUGAGUGAUUGUCCUGCUUUAAGACCCAUGACCUCUGACAAAGACCCAGCUUUAUGACAUACAUUGCCCCAGGCCCGUUUAUUUUAUUUAUUUAUAGGUUUUUGUUUAUUUUAAUAGCAAUAUCCGGCAACAUUGCAUCGCCGGCAUUAAACUGGCAGUAAUCAAAAAAAGUCCAUGGACAGGUCAUUGCUGACAAGAUAUGACAUUUGGUAAGGAAAAAAAAAAAAUAUAAUAAUAUAUAUAUAUAUAAUAAUAUAUAUAUAUAUAUAUAUAUAUAUUUUAUUUAUAGGUUUUUGUUUAUUUUAAUAGCAAUAUCCGGCAACAUUGCAUCGCCGGCAUUAAACUGGCAGUAAUCAAAAAAGUCCAUGGACAGGUCAUUGCUGACAAGAUAUGACAUUUUGGUAAGGAAAAAAAAAAAAUAUAAUAAUAUAUAUAUAUAUAAUAAUAUAUAUAUAUAUAUAUAUAUAUAUAUAUAAUAUAUAUAUAAUAAACUGUCAGA